ACACAUGCAAGUCGAGGGGCAGCAUGAACUUAGCUUGCUAAGUUUGAUGGCGACCGGCGCACGGGUGAGUAACACGUAUCCAACCUGCCGAUGACUCGGGGAUAGCCUUUCGAAAGAAAGAUUAAUACCCGAUGGCAUAGUUCUUCCGCAUGGUAGAACUAUUAAAGAAUUUCGGUCAUCGAUGGGGAUGCGUUCCAUUAGGUUGUUGGCGGGGUAACGGCCCACCAAGCCUUCGAUGGAUAGGGGUUCUGAGAGGAAGGUCCCCCACAUUGGAACUGAGACACGGUCCAAACUCCUACGGGAGGCAGCAGUGAGGAAUAUUGGUCAAUGGACGAGAGUCUGAACCAGCCAAGUAGCGUGAAGGAUGACUGCCCUAUGGGUUGUAAACUUCUUUUAUACGGGAAUAAAGUGAGGCACGUGUGCCUUUUUGUAUGUACCGUAUGAAUAAGGAUCGGCUAACUCCGUGCCAGCAGCCGCGGUAAUACGGAGGAUCCGAGCGUUAUCCGGAUUUAUUGGGUUUAAAGGGAGCGUAGGCGGACGCUUAAGUCAGUUGUGAAAGUUUGCGGCUCAACCGUAAAAUUGCAGUUGAUACUGGGUGUCUUGAGUACAGUAGAGGCAGGCGGAAUUCGUGGUGUAGCGGUGAAAUGCUUAGAUAUCACGAAGAACUCCGAUUGCGAAGGCAGCCUGCUGGACUGUAACUGACGCUGAUGCUCGAAAGUGUGGGUAUCAAACAGGAUUAGAUACCCUGGUAGUCCACACAGUAAACGAUGAAUACUCGCUGUUUGCGAUAUACAGUAAGCGGCCAAGCGAAAGCGUUAAGUAUUCCACCUGGGGAGUACGCCGGCAACGGUGAAACUCAAAGGAAUUGACGGGGG
rnacentral:rRNA from 1 species